GGAUAUGUAACUCAGUUGGUAGAGUGUUUGCCUUGCCCUGAGUUCAAUCCCCAGCAUGGCCA
rnacentral:tRNA from 1 species